ACCUGGUUGCCUCAAUCGGUGGAGCAUGUGACUCUUGAUCUCGGGGUUGCAAGUUCAAGUCUCACACUAGGUG
rnacentral:tRNA from 1 species